rnacentral:rRNA from 1 species
UACGGAGGGUGCGAGCGUUGUCCGGAAUCAUUGGGCGUAAAGGGCGCGUAGGUGGCGCGGCAAGCGUGCGGUGAAAGCUCGGGGCUCAACCCCGAGUCGGCCGUGCGAACUGCUGGGCUUGAGCACUGUAGAGGCAGGCGGAAUUCCGGGUGUAGCGGUGGAAUGCGUAGAGAUCCGGAAGAACACCGGUGGCGAAGGCGGCCUGCUGGGCAGUAGCUGACACUGAGGCGCGACAGCGUGGGGGAGCAAACAGG